rnacentral:rRNA from 2 species
GUGCUUGCAUCAUGAUUUACAUUUGAGUGAGUGGCGAACUGGUGAGUAACACGUGGGAAACCUGCCCAGAAGCGGGGGAUAACACCUGGAAACAGAUGCUAAUACCGCAUAACAACUUGGACCGCAUGGUCCGAGUUUGAAAGAUGGCUUCGGCUAUCACUUUUGGAUGGUCCCGCGGCGUAUUAGCUAGAUGGUGAGGUAACGGCUCACCAUGGCAAUGAUACGUAGCCGACCUGAGAGGGUAAUCGGCCACAUUGGGACUGAGACACGGCCCAAACUCCUACGGGAGGCAGCAGUAGGGAAUCUUCCACAAUGGACGAAAGUCUGAUGGAGCAACGCCGCGUGAGUGAAGAAGGGUUUCGGCUCGUAAAACUCUGUUGUUAAAGAAGAACAUAUCUGAGAGUAACUGUUCAGGUAUUGACGGUAUUUAACCAGAAAGCCACGGCUAACUACGUGCCAGCAGCCGCGGUAAUACGUAGGUGGCAAGCGUUGUCCGGAUUUAUUGGGCGUAAAGCGAGCGCAGGCGGUUUUUUAAGUCUGAUGUGAAAGCCUUCGGCUCAACCGAAGAAGUGCAUCGGAAACUGGGAAACUUGAGUGCAGAAGAGGACAGUGGAACUCCAUGUGUAGCGGUGAAAUGCGUAGAUAUAUGGAAGAACACCAGUGGCGAAGGCGGCUGUCUGGUCUGUAACUGACGCUGAGGCUCGAAAGUAUGGGUAGCAAACAGGAUUAGAUACCCUGGUAGUCCAUACCGUAAACGAUGAAUGCUAAGUGUUGGAGGGUUUCCGCCCUUCAGUGCUGCAGCUAACGCAUUAAGCAUUCCGCCUGGGGAGUACGGCCGCAAGGCUGAAACUCAAAGGAAUUGACGGGGGCCCGCACAAGCGGUGGAGCAUGUGGUUUAAUUCGAAGCUACGCGAAGAACCUUACCAGGUCUUGACAUACUAUGCAAAUCUAAGAGAUUAGACGUUCCCUUCGGGGACAUGGAUACAGGUGGUGCAUGGUUGUCGUCAGCUCGUGUCGUGAGAUGUUGGGUUAAGUCCCGCAACGAGCGCAACCCUUAUUAUCAGUUGCCAGCAUUAAGUUGGGCACUCUGGUGAGACUGCCGGUGACAAACCGGAGGAAGGUGGGGAUGACGUCAAAUCAUCAUGCCCCUUAUGACCUGGGCUACACACGUGCUACAAUGGAUGGUACAACGAGUUGCGAACUCGCGAGAGUAAGCUAAUCUCUUAAAGCCAUUCUCAGUUCGGAUUGU